rnacentral:rRNA from 1 species
GAUGAACGCUGGCGGCGUGCCUAAUACAUGCAAGUCGAGCGAACAGACGAGGAGCUUGCUCCUCUGACGUUAGCGGCGGACGGGUGAGUAACACGUGGAUAACCUACCUAUAAGACUGGGAUAACUUCGGGAAACCGGAGCUAAUACCGGAUAAUAUAUUGAACCGCAUGGUUCAAUAGUGAAAGACGGUUUUGCUGUCACUUAUAGAUGGAUCCGCGCCGCAUUAGCUAGUUGGUAAGGUAACGGCUUGCCAAGGCAACGAUGCGUAGCCGACCUGAGAGGGUGAUCGGCCACACUGGAACUGAGACACGGUCCAGACUCCUACGGGAGGCAGCAGUAGGGAAUCUUCCGCAAUGGGCGAAAGCCUGACGGAGCAACGCCGCGUGAAUGAUGAAGGUCUUCGGAUCGUAAAACUCUGUUAUUAGGGAAGAACAAAUGUGUAAGUAACUAUGCACGUCUUGACGGUACCUAAUCAGAAAGCCACGGCUAACUACGUG